rnacentral:rRNA from 1 species
AUCAGCUAGUUGGUAGGGUAAUGGCCUACCAAGGCGACGACGGGUAGCUGGUCUGAGAGGAUGAUCAGCCACACUGGCACUGGAACACGGGCCAGACUCCUACGGGAGGCAGCAGUGAGGAAUUUUGCGCAAUGGGGGAAACCCUGACGCAGCAACGCCGCGUGGGUGAUGAAGGCCUUCGGGUCGUAAAGCCCUGUCAGGUGGGAAGAAAGGCUUUAGGAUGAAUAAGCCUUGAGUUUGACGGUACCACCAGAGGAAGCACCGGCUAACUCCGUGCCAGCAGCCGCGGUAAUACGGAGGGUGCUAGCGUUAUUCGGAAUUACUGGGCGUAAAGCGCGUGUAGGCGGCUAGGCAAGUCUGAUGUGAAAGCCCUGGGCUUAACCCGGGAAGUGCAUUGGAAACUGCCUGGCUUGAGUACCGGAGAGGAUGGGGGAAUUCCCGGUGUAGAGGUGAAAUUCGUAGAGAUCGGGAGGAAUACCAGUGGCGAAGGCGCCCAUCUGGACGGUAACUGACGCUGAGACGCGAAAGCGUGGGGAGCAAACAGGAUUAGAUACCCUGGUAGUCCACGCCGU